rnacentral:rRNA from 1 species
UAGUUAAGUGCUUGAAACUCAAAGAAUUUGGCGGUGUUUUAGUCUAUUCAGAGGAAUCUGUCCCGUGAUCGAUAAUUCACGAAUUAUGUUACUUGAUUUUGUAAUUGAUCAGUUUGUAUACCGCCGUCAUCAGAUUAUCCUUGUAGGGUUUAAUUUUCUUAAAAUUUAAUUAGAUUAUAUGUCAGGUCAAGGUGCAGCUAAUAAUUGAGUGGAGAUGGAUUACAAUAAAUUUAUUUAUAUGGAUUUUAUUGUGAAAUUUUUAAUUGAAGGUGGAUUUGAUAGUAAUUUUGUUUGUUAACAGAUUGAUUUUAGCUCUAAAACAUGUACACAUCGCCCGUCGCUCUCGCUAUUAAGGCGAGAUAAGUCGUAACAAAGUAGAUGUACUGGAAAGUGUAUCUAGAAAGG